UACCAAGGCUGCGAUGGUUAGCUGGUCUGAGAGGGUGAUCAGCCACACUGGAACUGACACACGGUCCAGACAACUACGGUUGGCAGCAGUGAGGAAUUUUGCACAAUGGGGGAAACCCUGAUGCAGCAACGCCGCGUGAGUGAUGAAGGCUUUCGAGUCGUAAAGCUCUGUCAAGUGGGAAGAACCUGCGAGAUGAUAAUACCGUCUCGCACUGACGGUACCACUGAAGGAAGUACCGGCUAACUCCGUGCCAGCAGCCGCGGUAAUACGGGGGGUACUAGCGUUAUUCGGAAUUAUUGGGCGUAAAGGGCGCGUAGGCGGUCUUUUAAGUCAAAUGUGAAAGCCCGGGGCUUAACCCCGGAAGUGCAUUUGAAACUAAGGGACUUGAGUAUGGGAGAGGGAAGUGGAAUUCCAGGUGUAGAGGUGAAAUUCGUAGAUAUCUGGAGGAACACCGGUGGCGAAGGCGACUUCCUGGACCAAUACUGACGCUGAUGCGCGAAGGCGUGGGGAGCAAACAGGAUUAGAUACCCUGGUAGUCCACGCAGUAAACGUUGAACACUAGGUGUAGCGGGUAUUGACCCCUGCUGUGCCGCAGUUAACGCAUUAAGUGUUCCGCCUGGGGAGUACGGUCGCAAGAUUAAAACUCAAAGGAAUUGACGGGGGCCCGCACAAGCGGUGGAGCAUGUGUUUAAUUCGACACACGCGAAGAACCUUACCUGGACUUGACAUCCCGAGAAGUCUUUCGAAAGUUAGAUGUGCCCCUCGGGGAACUCGGUGACAGGUGCUGCAUGGCUGUCGCCAGCUCGUGUCGUGAGAUGUUGGGUUAAGUCCCGCAACGAGCGCAACCCCUAUCUUUAGUUACCAGCAUUCAGUUGGGGACUCUAGAGAUACUGCCCCGGUUAACGGGGAGGAAGGUGGGGAUGACGUCAAGUCCUCAUGGCCCUUAUGUCCAGGGCUACACACGUGCUACAAUGGACUGUACAAAGGGUUGCAAGCCUGCGAGGGUGAGCUAAUCCCAGAAAGCAGUUCUCAGUUCGGAUUGGAGUCUGCAACUCGACUCCAUGAAGUUGGAAUCGCUAGUAAUCGUGGAUCAGCAUGCCACGGUGAAUACGUUCCCGGGCCUUGUACACACCGCCCGUCACAUCAUGAGAGUUGGUUGUACCGGAAGUUGCUGGGCCAACCCUUCGGGGGGGCAAGUACCUAUGGUAUGAUUGAUGAUUAGGGUGAAGUCG
rnacentral:rRNA from 1 species